rnacentral:rRNA from 1 species
UCGGGAAUUUUGGGCAAUGGGCGAAAGCCUGAUCCAGCCAUGCCGCGUGUGUGAAGAAGGUCUUCGGAUUGUAAAGCACUUUAAGUUGGGAGGAAGGGCAGUUACCUAAUACGUGAUUGUUUUGACGUUACCGACAGAAUAAGCACCGGCUAACUCUGUGCCAGCAGCCGCGGUAAUACAGAGGGUGCAAGCGUUAAUCGGAAUUACUGGGCGUAAAGCGCGUGUAGGCGGGUCGUUAAGUUGGGGGUGAAAUCCCGAGGUUCAACCUCGGAACUGCCUUCAAAACUGGCGACCUGGACCCAAGUAGAGGCAAGUGGAAUUGCGAGUGUAGAGGUGAAAUUCGUAGAUAUUCGCAGGGACACCAGUGGCGAAGGCGACUUGCUGGACUUGUGGUGACGCUGAGACGCGAAAGCGUGGGGAGCAAACAGGAUUAGAUACCCACGUAGUCCCUGAGCGGGCUGGCAAGGCGCAU